CUUCUAAAUUUGAUGGUGGUGGUUAGUAUGAGGAAUAAAUAAUUAAAUUCAUUGUAGAUAUAGUUAUGCGUUGGUGAAUAUUUUAUUCAAGCCAAAUGAUGUAUACGAAUUCGGAAUAUCAACAUUAUAGGCAUAAAAGUACAAGAGUCCAGAAUUAUGAGGAAGCAUUUCAAUUGUCAAUUUGGCAUCAUAUAUUUUUGCUUAAAUCUGAUGGAAAUUGUAUGCAACUUAUUUGAGAGUGAAC
rnacentral:lncRNA from 1 species